UGAAAAUGUCAGGCUGUAGUGGUCUGUGGUGAAAAUGUCAGGUCGUAGUGGUGUAUGGUGAAAAUGUCAGGUCGUAGUGGUCAAGGGUGAAAAUGUCAGGUCGUAGUGGUCAAGGGUGAAAAUGUCAGGUCGUAGUGGUGUAUGGUGAAAAUGUCAGGUCGUAGUGGUCAAGGGUGAAAAUGUCAGGUCGUAGUGGUGUAUGGUGAAAAUGUCAGGUCGUAGUGGUCAAGGGUGAAAAUGUCAUGUCGUAGUGGUCAAGGGUGAAAAUGUCAGGCUGUAGUGGUCUGUGGUGAAAAUGUCAGGCUGUAGUGGUGUAUGGUGAAAAUGUCAGGUCGUAGUGGUCAAGGGUGAAAAUGUCAGGCUGUAGUGGUCUGUGGUGAAAAUGUCAGGUCGUAGUGGUGGGAGUGUUUGAACAGACACAAUUCUAGUGACAAACUGUCUGGAGAUUACAGCCCCACCCGUCAAGCGCGAAAACAACCGUGUUCUUGCAAAGUAAAGAAUGAGGGGAAAAAAAUAAAAUGGCCGAGUGUUGGCUCUGGUAGAGAACGAAACAAACAUCAUGUUCAGGCAUGGUCCUAUAGAGAAGUAGUCAUCUUAAUAAACACUGAAGUGUUCACUACAAUAAACAUGAG
ensembl:lncRNA